rnacentral:miRNA from 1 species
CGCUGUAUGAUUGUCCGAGGUA